CCUACGGGUGGCAGCAGUGAGGAAUAUUGGUCAAUGGCCGAAAGCCUGAACCAGCCAAGUCGCGUGAGGGAAGACGGCCCUACGGGUUGUAAACCUCUUUUGUCGGGGAGCAAAGAGAGUCACGUGUCACUCAUUGAGAGUACCCGAGGAAAAAGCAUCGGCUAACUCCGUUCCAGCAGCCGCGGUAAUACGGAGGAUGCGAGGGUUUGCCGGAUUUAUUGGGUUUAAAGGGUUCGCAGGCGGGGGUGCAAGUCAGCGGUAAAAGCCCGGGGCUCAACCCCGGCGAGCCGUUGAAACUGUCGGACUAGAGACGGCGAGAAGUACGCGGAAUGCGUGGUGUAGCGGUGAAAUGCAUAGAUAUCGCGCAGAACUCCGAUUGCGAAGGCAGCGUACCGGCGCCGGACUGACGCUGAGGCACGAAAGCGUGGGUAUCGAACAGGAUUAGAUACCCCUGUAGUC
rnacentral:rRNA from 1 species